rnacentral:rRNA from 1 species
GCGGAGGNAAANAAACCAACAGGGAUUGCCUCAGUAACGGCGANGUGAAGCGGCAACAGCUCAAAUUUGAAAUCUGGCCCCGUCGGGGUCCNAGUUGUAAUUUGUAGAGAGUGUUUCGGGUGAGACCACGGUCUAAGUCCAUUGGAACAUGGCGUCAUAGANGGGUGANNAAUCCCCGUAUGUGACUGUGGCUCGAGCCCAUGUGAAGCCUCUUCGACGAGUCGAGUUGUUUGGGAAUGCAGCUCAAAAUGGGUGGUAAAUUUCAUCUAAAGCUAAAUACUGGCUGGAGACCGAUAGCGCACAAGUAGAGUGAUCGAAAGAUGAAAAGCACUUUGGAAAGAGAGUCAAAAAGUACGUGAAAUUGUUGAAAGGGAAGCGCUUGCAACCAGACCUGUCCGUAGGUGAUCAGCCGCUGUUCUCAGCGGUGCACUCGCUCUGCGAUCAGGCCAGCAUCGGUUCCGGCGGUCGGAUAAAGGCCUUGGGAAUGUAGCUCCUCUCGGGGAGUCUUAUAGCCCUCGGUGCAAUGCGGCCAGCCGGGACCGAGGACCGCGCUUCGGCUAGGAUGCUGGCGUAAUGGUUGUAAGCGACCCGUCUUGAAACACGGACCAAGGAGUCUAACAUCAAUGCGAGUGUNNGGGUGUNNAACCCAUGCGCGGAAUGAAAGUGAACGGAGGUGAGAACCCGUNAGGGNNCAUCAUCNNCCGAUCCNNNUGUCUUCGGAUGGAUUUGAGUAUGAGCAUUGNUGUNGGGACCCGAAAGAUGGUNAACUNUGCCUGANNAGGGUGAAGCNNGAGNAAACUNUGGUGGAGGCUCGCAGCNNUUCUGACGUGCAAAUCGANCGUCAAAUUUGGGUAUAGGG